UCUCGUUAGCUCACCGAAGUCAAGCAUCAUUGGGCGCGGCCAGUACUUGGGUGGGUGACCACCUGGGAACACCGCUUGCCGU